CGCAGUCUCUCUAAAACAGCGCCUUUGGAAACAUCCAAACUGCUCCUCCUGUGUCUGGGAUGUGCUUUUAACAUACCAGAUAAAACCAGUGAGUGUGUGUUUGUGUGUGUGAUUGAAGCAACCUGCAGGUGGAGGAACAUCCAGUAACCUACAGUAUCUCCAGCCUUCAAAAACUCCUUUAUGUUUCAUCGCCAGAUGUGGAGAGAAGCAGCAAAGAAACUGUGGCGCCGAGCCAGAAGAAAUUGUGUCAGAAAAGCUGUUUUAGCAGGUAACACCUGAUGUUCUCAGGCUGCAGUGAAACAUUGUUACCCUGCAGUGAAUUUGCCCUCUAGAGGUGGACAGGUGCAACGACAGCAGCUGUCACUACAGACGAGGGAGAUAAGCAUAACAUUCAAGAUCUCACACUAUUUUUCAUUUUAUUUUCACCCGCAUGCUUUUUUUGAGUUUUGGGAUUUGGACAAAGUCAUCUCAUCUUAUCUGCGAGGAAACACAUCCCACAGAUAAAAGGAACAUUUAUACAGCAGAUGGGCAGAGAUGUGUGCUCACACUCCAGCAUCAAGUUUAGUCAAAGACGUAAUCGAGAGAUGGAGCCUCACAAGGGCAACACAUCACGGCUAAACGAGGGUGUUAGUUCAGCCUGAAUGUUGCUAUCUGUCAGUCGCUCACAUUUCAAAGCUUGUGAUUUUGAAGGUAUGAAAUGCUUCCUCUAGAGCAUUUUCUACCUGAAAGAUGAAGCUCUCGAGGAGAGGUUUCCCUCAGGGAUGCUCCAUAUCUGUUAUCUCACACAUACCACAACACACACAUGUUCAAACACACAUACACACACCUCACUUACUCUCUGCAUGGAACAUCUGCUAAACUAUACUUUCCACCCCUCCACCUGAGCAUGAGUAAUCUUUCCUCUAUUGAUCCCCUAUUAGGGCUCCUCAACUUUCCCCGAGAACAGAUGUUGGGCGCAAACGCACAGAUUGAUGUUUUUAAUAAAAAUGCAAUAAGGAGAAGUGGAGGAGGAGGAGGAGGAGGAAGAAGUGAGGACAAUCUUCUCAUGGAGAAGAAACCUGGAGGUCUGCUUGUGGAUCCUAUAAGCAAAGCGCAGGGGGAGAGGUUGCACAGCAGAGCUUCAGUGGUUUCUUUGGCUGAGCCAUAAGGGAUCUAUAGCACCAGCAACCUGACUGGCAGGCAGAUGGAGCACCUGAAGAGGCACCCUGAGUUUGAGUCUGAGAGACAGACAGAGAAACUGACAGAGAACAAAGACAGAGAUCAACUGAGAGCGAGGGAGGAGAUGCAGCACAGCAGCAUGUUCUGAGAUGGUUUUUAGAGACACUGAGAAAAGGACACUGGUUACUCUCUAAAAGGUCUCAAACCUUUUAGAAGAAGACACAAUGGUGAAAAUCCCAGCUCUCCAAACCCAUUACAAGGCCAGCUCUGCUCUCCUCCUCCUCUGCUGAGAUAUUUACCCAUCUGACAAAUACAUGUGUUGGCCCAUCGAUGAAUUGAAAAAGAUGUGCGUAUGAAUAAUAAAUCUGUGGCAGCUGUACAUUUUUAAUUGAUUCUUCCCAAGUACAAACAGCAUGGAGAUUGUGAGCCUUCACAAGCUCCCAGCGGGAGCUGGUUUGAUUUUCUUUUAUCCGCUAAUGUAUUUAUUACUAUUGAAGCUGGAAUGAAACAGGGAGGAAAAAGUAGUGUGAUGAAUAUUUGACAAGGAGAGUUUGUGACGUACGAUUCGUUGGUGAGGUUUCCUGACAUUCAGUUUCAUCCUGCUGAGCUAGUUCCACUCGUCCUUUCAGGAACUGUUCUGCAAUCUCCGCCUAGUUUAAAAUCUGGUUUGUGUUCAUGUUUUAUGAUGGGCGGUCACUUGAGUAGACAGAUAAUCUUUGAUAACUACAGAAUUAUAGUAUCAUUGUUACCAUCACUCAUUGUUCUUUCUUCCUCUUGUUCUUUCUCCAUCAUACAUCGCCUCCACAUCUCAUACGAGAUUCUAAUCCCACACAAAACAACCCAGUUAUUUGUUUGUAUAAGCAGCUUGUUAUGAACCUUCAUUAUGCUUUAUAGGUAAGUGAUCUCUAGCUAUAGUCUUGGACAGCAUUAGUAGAUUUAUUUUCAGCUAACAGCAUCAUCUAGUGGCUGUAGUAAUUAGAAUGAGAGAAAAAAGCUGGAGUCAUUUGACGUUAUUAUAGAGUCUGCAUUGGGAGGAGGUUGGGGCUGAUCGAUGGGCCAGUAAAUGUUGGACUUUGACAUGAGAGACUACUUUCUCCUUCCAGGCCAAAUGUUGCCACCAUCUUUUCUUUUAACCCUGACUGUUCCCAAACUUUAACUGCAUGUUUAUUGUUGUAACUCUAAACAUGAGCACUUAUUUAACCCUAAACAACAAUGUUUUCCAAAAUGUAACCAGGUUGCUCUUGUACUUAAAAAUAAAAACAAGCGUAUUACUGUAUGGUAUAGUAUAACAGUGAAUAUUCACUGUUCAGUAUAGACUUUUACUGCUUUUGUCUUUGUGUGUAUUGUAUUAUUAUGAAGUAAUAAUGAUUAGCUAUUGUUUUGUAAUAUUAUGUGUGUAUAUUUUAUAUUUUAAUGCUACAUUAUUUCCGGUGAAAGCAAAACUAUUAGCAUAUGUGGGGUGUUCAAAUAAACAAUAGUUUACUCCCUAAUAACAUACAACUGUUCAGAAGCAACACUAGGAACUAUGAAUUAGGAAAGAAAUUAACAUUCUAAAAAGUAAUUUGCUCAUAAAACCAUGAAGAAUAGAUGUUUAUUGGUUUAAGGGAAAAAAUGUGAAAAAAUUUGGUUGACAAUCUUGAAAUCAAUACAACUAUACAGCUAUUUUUAAAAUUGUACAAAAAGGACUGCUUGAAAAAUCUUAUAAUGUCAAGGUGACAGUUAAGGUGUCCUUGGGCUUUCUAGAGAGGCAUAACAGUAUAAGGAUUGAUGCAAACAGGAAACAGUAAAGUAAGAGCUGCAGAUACAUGUAGCAGGGUGUUAAUAAAUUAAACUUUAUCCUACCAUGAUUUAUACUCCUAUAUCUUUGUAAAUGCCAUUGCGUGUAUUUAUACUUGUAUCGUGGUGCAUUUACUGUCACUUUGCAAUUAAACCACCAUAACACUAGUUUCUCUGCCACUGUGAUGAGUUUCUUCAUGUUCUACAAGCAAUUGUGCCUGAAACAA